rnacentral:tRNA from 1 species
GCGGCGUUGGUGUUCAACGGUUAGCACUCCGGUCUUCCAAACCGGUGGUGCCAGUUCGAGUCUGGCACGCCGCUCCA